rnacentral:rRNA from 1 species
AGCUCCAAUAGCGUAUAUUAAAGUUGUUGCAGUUAAAAAGCUCGUAGUUGGAUUUGUGGCCGUCGCUUGCGGCCUGACACUCAGUGUUAGUGCUAGCGCGCGACGCCAUCCUUGGGUGGAGCCUGUGUGGCAUUAGGUUGUCGUGCAGGGGAUGCCCAUCGUUUACUGUGAAAAAAUUAGAGUGUUCAAAGCAGGCUUAUGCCGUUGAAUAUAUUAGCAUGGAAUAAUAAGAUAGGACCUUGGUACUAUUUUGUUGGUUUGCGCACCAAGGUAAUGAUUAAUAGGGACAGUUGGGGGUAUUCGUAUUCCAUUGUCAGAGGUGAAAUUCUUGGAUUUUUGGAAGACGAACUACUGCGAAAGCAUUUACCAAGGAUGUUUUCAUUAAUCAAGAACGAAAGUA